GGAGGGGGUGGGGUGGGGGGCUUGAGCAGCACACACACUGAACUGGACUGAAAAACUGAGCUGGAAAUGCAGCUUGUAGUCAACUCCAGAGGGUGCUAAAACUCAGCUGAAUAAUCUGGUCUUCUAUUUUUUUUUUCUUUUUAGGCAUUUGGGAGCCACCGCAGAUACGUGGGCAGAGGAAGUGGCAUAAUGCCAGCAGAUCUAACAUUAUGUGCAAAAUGGACUUUCAGGAGAAAGAUGAGGGAAGAAAUUAUAAAUUGUGUCAAUGAUCCUGACACAAGAUGUUAGUGAUUGGGAGUAUUCAGAUGGCCAACUGAAGAGAGGAGUGCUAGAACCCAGCUAGACCAGUGGUUCUCAAAGAAUGAACCCCGGAUCACAGAAGCUUCAGCAUCACCCGGGCACUUGUUAGAAAUGAAAAUUCUUGGUCCCCAAAUUCCAUUCAACUGUCCAAAGAUGGCAUCAGGAACACCUACACAAGUGGAAAGGAACCGUCUAAGUUUCUGUACACUUGAGAUGGCCUCUGUGAGGGUGAUUUUUGGCUGCUGUGGUAAAGAAGCCUCCCCGUCAUCUUCACUUCC